UUAAGCGACUAAGCGUACACGGUGGAUGCCCUGGCAGUCAGAGGCGAUGAAGGACGUGCUAAUCUGCGAAAAGCGUCGGUAAGGUGAUAUGAACCGUUACAGCCGGCGAUGUCCGAAUGGGGAAACCCAGUGCAAUUCGUUGCACUAUCGUUAACUGAAUACAUAGGUUAACGAGGCGAACCGGGGGAACUGAAACAUCUAAGUACCCCGAGGAAAAAAAAUCAACCGAGAUUCCCCCAGUAGCGGCGAGCGAACGGGGAGCAGCCCAGAGUCUGAAUCAGCUUGUGUGUUAGUGGAACGGUCUGGAAAGUCCGACGGUACAGGGUGAUAGUCCCGUACACCAAAAUGCACAGGCUGUGAACUCGAAGAGUAGGGCGGGACACGUGGUAUCCUGUCUGAAUAUGGGGGGACCAUCCUCCAAGGCUAAAUACUCCUGACUGACCGAUAGUGAACCAGUACCGUGAGGGAAAGGCGAAAAGAACCCCGGCGAGGGGAGUGAAAAAGAACCUGAAACCGUGUACGUACAAGCAGUGGGAGCACCUUCGGGUGUGACUGCGUACCUUUUGUAUAAUGGGUCAGCGACUUAUAUUCUGUAGCAAGGUUAACCGUAUAGGGGAGCCGCAGGGAAACCGAGUCUUAACUGGGCGUUAAGUUGCAGGGUAUAGACCCGAAACCCGGUGAUCUAGCCAUGGGCAGGUUGAAGGUUGGGUAACACUAACUGGAGGACCGAACCGACUAAUGUUGAAAAAUUAGCGGAUGACUUGUGGCUGGGGGUGAAAGGCCAAUCAAACCGGGAGAUAGCUGGUUCUCCCCGAAAGCUAUUUAGGUAGCGCCUCGUGAAUUCAUCUUCGGGGGUAGAGCACUGUUUCGGCUAGGGGGUCAUCCCGACUUACCAACCCGAUGCAAACUACGAAUACCGAAGAAUGUUAUCACGGGAGACACACGGCGGGUGCUAACGUCCGUCGUGAAGAGGGAAACAACCCAGACCGCCAGCUAAGGUCCCAAAGUCAUGGUUAAGUGGGAAACGAUGUGGGAAGGCACAGACAGCCAGGAUGUUGGCUUAGAAGCAGCCAUCAUUUAAAGAAAGCGUAAUAGCUCACUGGUCGAGUCGGCCUGCGCGGAAGAUGUAACGGGGCUAAACCAUGCACCGAAGCUGCGGCAGCGACACUAUGUGUUGUUGGGUAGGGGAGCGUUCUGUAAGCCUGCGAAGGUGACCUGUGAGGGUUGCUGGAGGUAUCAGAAGUGCGAAUGCUGACAUAAGUAACGAUAAAGCGGGUGAAAAGCCCGCUCGCCGGAAGACCAAGGGUUCCUGUCCAACGUUAAUCGGGGCAGGGUGAGUCGACCCCUAAGGCGAGGCCGAAAGGCGUAGUCGAUGGGAAACAGGUUAAUAUUCCUGUACUUGGUGUUACUGCGAAGGGGGGACGGAGAAGGCUAUGUUAGCCGGGCGACGGUUGUCCCGGUUUAAGCAUGUAGGCUGGUUAUCCAGGCAAAUCCGGAUAAUCAAGGCUGAGGUGUGAUGACGAGGCACUACGGUGCUGAAGUAACAAAUGCCCUGCUUCCAGGAAAAGCCUCUAAGCAUCAGGUAACAUUAAAUCGUACCCCAAACCGACACAGGUGGUCAGGUAGAGAAUACCAAGGCGCUUGAGAGAACUCGGGUGAAGGAACUAGGCAAAAUGGUGCCGUAACUUCGGGAGAAGGCACGCUGGUGUGUAGGUGAAGUCCCUGCGGAUGGAGCUGAGACCAGUCGAAGAUACCAGCUGGCUGCAACUGUUUAUUAAAAACACAGCACUGUGCAAACACGAAAGUGGACGUAUACGGUGUGACGCCUGCCCGGUGCCGGAAGGUUAAUUGAUGGGGUUAUCCGUAAGGAGAAGCUCUUGAUCGAAGCCCCGGUAAACGGCGGCCGUAACUAUAACGGUCCUAAGGUAGCGAAAUUCCUUGUCGGGUAAGUUCCGACCUGCACGAAUGGCGUAAUGAUGGCCAGGCUGUCUCCACCCGAGACUCAGUGAAAUUGAACUCGCUGUGAAGAUGCAGUGUACCCGCGGCAAGACGGAAAGACCCCGUGAACCUUUACUAUAGCUUGACACUGAACAUUGAGCCUUGAUGUGUAGGAUAGGUGGGAGGCUUUGAAGCGUGGACGCCAGUCUGCGUGGAGCCGACCUUGAAAUACCACCCUUUAAUGUUUGAUGUUCUAACGUUGGCCCCUUACCGGGGUUGCGGACAGUGUCUGGUGGGUAGUUUGACUGGGGCGGUCUCCUCCCAAAGCGUAACGGAGGAGCACGAAGGUUAGCUAAUCCUGGUCGGACAUCAGGAGGUUAGUGCAAUGGCAUAAGCUAGCUUGACUGCGAGCGUGACGGCGCGAGCAGGUGCGAAAGCAGGUCAUAGUGAUCCGGUGGUUCUGAAUGGAAGGGCCAUCGCUCAACGGAUAAAAGGUACUCCGGGGAUAACAGGCUGAUACCGCCCAAGAGUUCAUAUCGACGGCGGUGUUUGGCACCUCGAUGUCGGCUCAUCACAUCCUGGGGCUGAAGUAGGUCCCAAGGGUAUGGCUGUUCGCCAUUUAAAGUGGUACGCGAGCUGGGUUUAGAACGUCGUGAGACAGUUCGGUCCCUAUCUGCCGUGGGCGCUGGAGAAUUGAGGGGGGCUGCUCCUAGUACGAGAGGACCGGAGUGGACGCAUCACUGGUGUUCGGGUUGUCAUGCCAAUGGCACUGCCCGGUAGCUAAAUGCGGAAGAGAUAAGUGCUGAAAGCAUCUAAGCACGAAACUUGCCCCGAGAUGAGUUCUCCCUGAGACUUUAAGUCUCCUGAAGGAACGUUAAAGACGAUGACGUUGAUAGGCCGGGUGUGUAAGCGCAGCGAUGCGUUGAGCUAACCGGUACUAAUGAACCGUGAGGCUUAACCUU
rnacentral:rRNA from 1 species